rnacentral:rRNA from 1 species
GACGAACGCUGGCGGCGUGCUUAACACAUGCAAGUCGAGCGGAAAGGCCCUUUCGGGGGUACUCGAGCGGCGAACGGGUGAGUAACACGUGAGUAAUCUGCCCUGUGCUUUGGGAUAGCCACCGGAAACGGUGAUUAAUACCGGAUACGACCACCUCUCGCAUGAGAUGGUGGUGGAAAGUUUUUCGGCGCAGGAUGUGCUCGCGGCCUAUCAGCUUGUUGGUGGGGUAAUGGCCUACCAAGGCUUCGACGGGUAGCCGGCCUGAGAGGGUGACCGGCCACACUGGGACUGAGACACGGCCCAGACUCCUACGGGAGGCAGCAGUGGGGAAUAUUGGACAAUGGGCGGAAGCCUGAUCCAGCAACGCCGCGUGAGGGAUGACGGCCUUCGGGUUGUAAACCUCUUUCAGCACCGACGAAGCGAGAGUGACGGUAGGUGCAGAAGAAGGACCGGCCAACUACGUGCCAGCCGCCGCAGUAACAC